GGCCAAAAUGAAUAAUUCUUAUACCAACCAUGUUAACAGAAAGACAAAAAUAGGUGAUAAACAAAACCACCCCAAGUCUCAACAAAAUUUACUAGUUUAACAAUCUAAUGACAAGACUCAAUUCAAGAAAGCAAAAAGACUAAUAUAUGUUUUUCGGGCUUCAAUUCAAAACAGAUAUAUGAUAACUUAAUCUUCAUCAUCGAUGACCUUGGUGCCCAAACCUUUUAACUCUUCUUUAGGAAUUUCAACGACGGUGACAAGGGAGUAUAACUCUUCCUUGGCAUCUUCGUCGUCAUUCCUCUUGCGAGCAAUGCGUACCCUGAUCCUCCUUGGUACACUUCUGAUUCCCUGGCUCCAGAUAGCCUUGUUCAACUUAACGUCAACUCUAACAUCGUUAGUGCCCAUGGCUUUUUGAGCAAACUUUCUGAUCUCCUUGAUGGCUUUUGGUGCCUUCUUCUUGAAGGUGCUGUUUUACAUGAAAAAUACAAAAACACAGACAACAGCAUGAAAAAUACAAAAACCUAUCUUUCAAAUCAUGAUAAUAAUAAUAAUAAACACAAUAAAAAUGGCACUUUAGUCAAAAAAUCAAUAUGACUAAAAAAAACUGUUAGUUUAGUACACACAAAACAGUGCGAUUCAGAUGCAAUCAAAUGUCCAAAUUUUUUACACACAAAGACCAAAUGAACAGCAUACAUAUUUAGGGUCUGUUUGGAUAGGCUUAUUAGUGCUCAAUUACUCACAUAAGUUUUGACAUUGUUCAUUAGCUGUUUUUACCAUACUUACUGGCGGUCUGGAUAUGAAAACAGAUUAUGACGACAUUGUUCAUAAGCUGCUUUCAGCAUAUUUUAUAUGUUCUCCAAGAUAGCUUACACAAACAGCAAAUGACAUUGUUCACAAACUAUGAUUAAUUUACACAUCAACAUCAAAUGAACAGCAUGCAUACUUAGAGCCUCUUUGGAUUAACUUAACAUCAAAUGAACAGCAUACCUACUUAGAGCCUGUUAGGAUGAACUUAUUCGAGCUUAUUUAAUGGCAUAACAUUGUCAUGACGGCUUGCAAGAGCUCAUUAAAACAGCUAAUGAUUUUGUGCAUAAGCUGUUUCAGCUUAUUUCCAUUAGCUCUCCAAGAUUAGCUUAUAAAACAACUUAUAGCUUAUAAAAACAAUUUAAAUUUAUUUCAUCUCUUGUUAUAAAAAAAGCUUAUAACUAAGCAGUUAUCAUAACAAGUGUUAAAACUAAUACAAGAUGCAAAUUAAACUGUUUAUCCAAACAGGGCCCAAUGUAGUUUAAAUCAUGAAAUUAAUAAUUAAAGUGAUGAAACUACUGGUUAUGGAAAAGUGAGAAAAUUACUGAUUAGCAGUUAUAAGCUGUUUUAACAAGAUAUCAUGGUGAGAUUAUGAAAAUAAGCUGAAUACAGGUAAUGAAAAUGUUAUCAAUUGUUUCAAUUAGUUCUCCCAAACAGUCCCACAAGUGCUUGGGCAAAUAGAUAAGCUUAAAUAAGUUGAUCCAAACAGACCCUAGUAAAUCUACAAAAUUGAAAUGCUAACUAAAACAAUACUACAGGAAAGUGAGAAAAUUACUGAUAAGCAGUUUAAUCAUGAAAUUAAUACUUCAAAACAAUGAAUUGUAAUUUCCAGUGUAAACACAGACAACUGAAUCACAAAAGUCAAAAUUACUUAUAACAUGUGUUUUCAGCUUAUUUUCAUAUGUAAUCCAAAAUAGUUUACCAAAACAUCAUAAUUCUUAUAAAAUGGCUUAUAGUAAACACUGCAAAUUAGCCUAUUUAUCCAAACAGAUCCUAGAUCUACAAAAUUGAAACGCUUAUGUAAAACAACAAUUACAGGAAAGUGAGAAAGUUACUGAACAGCAGGCUUAUUUGGGCAUCUAUUGAAUAAGUUAUUUCCAACUUUUUUUCAUAAACUCCAAAAUCAAAAUCAAAAACAACGUAUAGCUUAUUAAAAAACCAUAAUUGUGUUUACAUUUUGCAAUAAAAAUAGCUUAUACAGAAUCGCUUAUCAUGACAAUACUUAGAAAAUUUUCAUAAUCCAUCAAAGAAUUAGGGCCCAUUUGGAUUUUGCAAUAGACAAGCUUUUAUGUAUUAUUCAUAAGUUUGUCAAUGGAGUUUAUGAUAAAAGAGUUUAUGAAGAUAUAAUUCCCGUUAGUAAAACUUAUAAAUUAACAUAAAAGCUUACUUAAUUGCAUAUGCUAUUUUUCAUAAACUCAAAAACAAGCCAAUCUAAACAGGCCCUUGGCUUAUAAAAACAGCUUAUAACUUACAAAAAAACAAUUAAACUUAAUUUUUAUCUCAUCAUAAAAGUAGCUUAUAACUAAGCGCUUAUUAAAACAAUUUAACUUUACAAUAUAAGCUGCAAACUAAGUUAUGUAUCCAAACAGAUACUAGAUCUACAAAAUUGAACUCUUACUAAAAUCAAAAUCAUAGGCAAGUGAGAAAAUUACUGAUUAGCAGUUAAAUCAUGAAAUUAACAACAAAAAUGAUGAAUCAAAAUUUGCAAUGAAACACAUAGAAUUGAAUCAUGAGAAGCAAAUGAUAGAAAGAUUGAAAUUACCAGCCAUGGAGACGCUUGUGGAGAUUGAUGGUAUACUCCCGUGUAACCACCUCUUCUUUCCUACCUGCUGCACCCUUCUCAACCAUUUUCAGCUUCUGAGAUUAACCUAAACCCU
rnacentral:lncRNA from 1 species